UUGCGACCAUAGUUUAACCUCCAACUGUGAAGUUAGCAGCUCAUCUCAGAAUAAACAAACAUGGACAGACUUUUGGUUGCUAGGCAUCCCAGAGCAUGCAGCAUGUUUGUCAGAAACUCGACAAGUUUUCCCAGGAGGUUGCACUCGAGGGGCAAUGGGCACGUGCAGUGUAUUUUGUGGAUGCAAUGGUUUGGUGUGAGGGUUUUCACAUAGUACGUAAAUGCUGUGGUAAAUUAAUCAUCUUGACUGCUGGUUAAUUCUAUACAUAAUAUACCUCUGAGCUCAUUGAGUGGGCAAGGUUGCAGUUAUCUUGACACAUGUGGUCACAAUGAACUUUUGGGAAAAAUAUAACAACAUAUGGACAUCUACAGUAAGUAAUUUGGCAAGUAACACUCUUUUGGCAAUUAACGUGGCAAAGAACAGUUCUAUACACCCUCGAGUUCCUCAGCACAAUAGGAAUGUGGGUUCGUUUCGCAUUUGAGUCCAUAAUGCAUAGAGGAGAUAUCAUACUCCAUGCCGGCGUCAGUGCGACCAGCCUACAUGUGUGAGUCAGCAGGGGCUCUGAGUCAGACACUGCUAACACACUCAUAAUGCAAAGGCUGUUUUAAAGGGUAUCAAGAGCUCACAGCCAACAUUCGUGCACGGGAGAUAAAGAUACAGAGGUGGAGAGAGAGAGAUAGAGAGACCACAAAUCAAUACAAGUCAGUAAUUAUGGUCAGUAAUUAAAUAAGCAAUCUCUGAAUCACUUUGUACAACAUGAUGAAACCAUAAACAUUUCUUAUUUCACAUUUUUAGUCAUAAUACAUCUUUGUACUCUCAUUGUUUCAAUAAAUCAAACACUUGAGAAUGAGAGAAACUUUUAGCUAAAGUUUUUCCAGUCCAACAGUGUUCAAAGGACUAGUUCCUAAUCCCAAAAAAUGAUACGGAUGUUCAUUGUGAAAACCGAUUUAGGGACAGAAAAUGGCCUCUCCGUAACACUGUCAUCUUUGUCUUCAGCAGGAGACUUUUCUUCCUCGGUGCAAAGGCUCAGAAAGGGCUUACUUUGUCCGUCUCAUUUCAGCGUUUCAUCCUCAGGCAUUCGCUACAGGUUUAAGAUCAUCCAACAGUACGGCUAUUUACAAUGCAUAAAGAGCAUUCACGGCAAAAGGAUUAUCUUCGACAACCGUUGAUCCAAGAUGUAUAGUGCUGGCUUUGUUACUACAUAUGAUCUCAGUUCAUAUAAAAAAGUCCGGCUCAUUGAAGUGUGCACAUUUGAGUAAUAUACAGAUGGACAUUGUUAAAAUAGCACAAUUUUUUUUUUUUCAAAACUGAUGGUCCCUCAUGAAUACAAAAGUUAAAAACCCAAGCAUGAAAUAUUUAACCACUGAUGAUGGUGUUACUGUUCAUAUGUUCAACUGGACACACAACAGCAAUAACCCACAACCAUAUGUGCUUCAGACAUAAAAACAACAAGAAUAUACUGUAAGUGAUUCAAAACUUACGAGUAAUUGGGCAUCUGUUUAUAUCAUCUAUUAAAGUGUGCUUUUUCAUAUAAGCAGUGCAAAAAUCAAUUUCCUAAUCACUUUUUGUGUUAUUUCCCAGUAAAAAUCAUUAAAAUCAGAUAAAUUAGCUUGAAUUCAAAUUGUGUAAGAUAAUAAGACCUGUUUUCACAGAA